UUUUUCUAUUGAUUUUGGUUAGCUACAUGGGUCUAACCGAGCAAUUUAGCCUCUUAUUUUCUAGGAUUCAGCCUUUUACAUUCUACUUAUUUUUUAUUUUCAGCCAUUUUUUUGCAGCUGAUCCCACCAAUUAGACUGGUCCCACUUAUCAUGCUUAUCUCAAAUUGGUCCCACACAUCAAAAAUUUAGAAAUUUGUCAAACAACCAUUAUAACUUAG
rnacentral:lncRNA from 1 species